CUCAAGAUGAGAUUUCCCAUUACAUUUGUAAGUAAGAUCCCUCAAAGAUGAUGAGGUGGAUAGGUCUGGGGUGGAAGCACGGCGACGUGUGGAGCUGACAGAUACUAAUCGAUCGAGGACUUAACCUAAUU
rnacentral:rRNA from 1 species